UCAAUCAACCCUCACUCUCCCACCCCCGCCUGCGCCGCGUCUCGUCCCCCCACGCCGAAGCGGUCAGCUCGCCAAGCGUGCACCUCAUGCGAGGUUGCUUCUCUCCCUCGCCCUAGCCGCCGCCGCCGCGGCUUCGCACGGCGUCACAGCGGCCACCCUGCCCUCCCCCACGCCGAACCUGGAGGGGAUGCUCGCGCGCGGUGGGGCUGUACAAGGCCAUCUCCCAUGUCCUCGAGAACUUCGACGUCAUCACCCACACCAAUUCCAGUGCCUCCCCAAGUGGUUGAUUACUGACUGGUGUCGUAUGGCUGCCUCGGUGUGAAUUGCAGGCAGGACGUUCUCAGGCAGUUCUCGAUGGUGAGUAUGGAGCUGUUCAACAUUGUGGAGGACAUUAAGAAUGUGUCCAAGGUGUUUGUUGUGUACCUCCGAAAUGUCAAUGCUGAGAAUGCUACAAUACAACACAUUUUUUGUGUGGCUGCAAAGUUAUUAAUUCUAGAGGAGCAAGAUGGAGGUUAUUGUCAUCAUCUUAGUUGUCAUUCUUUUGGCACUAGGAGCUCUCUUUGUGAUCCCAAAGUCCCAAAAUAAAGGUACAAAUUGCAUAACUUAUUGUAGUAGCUUGACCUAGUUAUAUCUGAGCAACUCUUGAAUUGCAGAUAAACCAAAGGUAACUGAUUCAGGAGCUGGAUGGUAAACUCUUAAAUUUUAGUUGGCUAGUCUUCUUAAGCCUACAAAUGCGCUACAAGAUAACUUUUUCUCAGAUUUGCACCAUAAUACUUAUAAUACUUUUUGUAUUUCUACAUUCAGACAUCUAGGAGCUUUACGAAGGAAGAGAUAUCUAAACAUAACACAAGGAAGAUUGUUGGAUAAUCAUCAAGUACAAGGUCUGUGAUGUCACUCAUGUGUGAGGAACAUCCAGGGGGAGAUGCCAUUCUAAAUGAUGCUGGUGUUGAUUCCACGCAGGGUUUUUUUUGGGAUAUCCAGAGAUGGGCUGCAGGCGCUUGGGCCGGCCCGUUGAGGGCGGAAGUAUGGAAGAUGGCCGCAGCAGGGCUGGCCCAGGCGAGUCUUUGAAGUGGAAAAUAUUAAAAAAUUAAAACACUAAACAGGAGUUUGAACUUGAGACCUCAGGGUUUGGAGCCAUAUAACACUACCAGUGACCUAUAAAGCUUAUAGUGUUAUUAGAUGCAAAUAUUUCUUCCUAAUGUACUUCAACCUUGGCAGUUUUUGUUUGUUUUAAAAUUUGUUGCAAUCUUUAUUAUACAGAAAUGAAAUAUAUAUUUUACAUUUUUUGGCAUGUAGUUUUUAUAUCAUACAUUUUCACUCUAUCCUAUGUCCUAGAUUUGUUGGAGAAAAACAUUUCUUUGCUAGGAAUAAUCCAUCCUUCUAUUCCUAAAUUACCAUAAAAUAAUUAUAAUAAUUCUAAAUUUUGUCAGCAAAUUCUACAAAUUUACAUGGUUGCAUGUUUUUGGUACUUACAUAAAGAAGCUCAAAUUAUUUUAACAAAGUGACAAAUACACAUCAUUCAUGAUUUGAUAUAUCUCUCGCAUAUUUAAAAUCAUUUAUUAUCCAAAAAAUAUGUUUGAAGUUAUCAUAUUUUGAAAUUCAAAUUUUGAAUUGUUCAAACAAAGUCGGAUAGAGAACAUGAGUACAUGACUAAAAUAAAAGUUGUAUAUCUCGACGAUUUGUACAACUUUGUUGUUGUUGACUUUUCCAUUUGAAAUCAUUUUUUACCCCCAAAUUUUAUUUGAGGUUGUACUAUUUUGAACUUCAAAUUUCGAAUGGUUCAAGCAAAGUUAGAUGGAGAAACGAACAAAACAAAAGUUGUAGAUUUUGAUAAAUGUACAACUUUGUUAUUGAUGACUUGCUCAAUUGAAGUAAUUUACUAUUCCAUUUUUUUAAAAGUUUAUUAUAUAAAUUUAAAAUUAAAAACUUCAGACUAUAUUGGGCCUCAAAACAAUGGUCAGAUUUAGCCCAAAUUAAGUUCUCUUUCUCAGCCGUUGAAUAAUGAAAUGGAUGGCUGCCAUAUACCUCCUGAAAACCCUAGGCCUUGUUUAGUUCACCCCGAAAACCAAAAACUUUUCAAAAUUAGAUGAAUCGUUUAAACCUAGUUACUGUAUGAUUGGACAAUGUUUAUCAAAUAAAAACGAAAGUGCUACAGUGUCGAAAUCUAAAAAAUUUUCGGAUCUAAACAAGGCCCUACUCUCCUCUACUCCUGCAGAUACCAUCGCCCCCCUCCUGCGCCUCUUUCCCCAUUCUCGCCAUCCUCGUAUCGAGCGCAUCAGCGGCUUCCUCGGUGAGUCAAACCCUAGCCUCACACUCCAGAUCGAGCCCCAAGAGGGAGAGGUCCAGAGCCCGGGGUGAGGCGGCGACUGCCCUCACCCCUGCCCAUAACAGCGACGGAUGCCUGACCCGAAAGCUGCCCUCAUUCGGCUUAGGGCGAUGUGGACGAGGCCGCCUAGCCUCGAUCCGGGCUAGGGCUACGUGGAGGAGGCCGCCUGGCCUCGAUCCAGCCUAGGGUUGCGCGGGGAGGUUGGAGCCGUGCCCAGGUCUUCUUCGGUGACGAGCACCCACCAGAAGUCAGGUAUUCCAGUACAUCGAAGAGCUUGAAAAGAAGGUGGCUGCCGUGGCUGGGCAGAUCAAGGACCUCCUAAAAAAGGUGGUUGCCAUGUCUGGGCAGAUCAAGGACCUUCAAAAGAAGGUGGAUGCUGAGCCCUAGAAGCUUAACAACAAGUGAUGUUUUAGGGAGCAGUGAUACCUAUACCCUGUCUGCAUGUUAACUAAGUCAAGUUUGGUGAUUUAAACGUCAGCUUUAUUUAAACGUCAGCUCUAUCAAAAAAGCGUUCUUUGUCUGAUAUAAACGUCAGCUCUAUCUAUCAGUAUACUGGAGAUUGUUUGUAGUCAACUUUGUUAUCUUUAUGUGUCUGAUAUAAACGUCAGCCCUAUUAUCUUGAGCUGCAAGUGUUCCAGGUCCGUGGACAUGUAUUAGAUUACUGAUUCUGAGAAAUGUGUUUGUUUUGAAUGGAAAAUUGUGUUGCUCCCAUCAGCAUUUCCUAAGUUAACUAGGCCAAAAUCAAUAACCCUCGACGAGACAGGUGGUCAAAGUGUUGCUAUGUAUAUUUGUAAAAACAAUGGGUAUUUUGGAUUGGAGUAUA